GAUGAACGCUGGCGGCGUGCUUAACACAUGCAAGUCGAACGGAAAGGCUCCUGCUUGCAGGGGUACUCGAGUGGCGAACGGGUGAGUAACACGUGGGUGAUCUGCCCUGCACUUCGGGAUAAGCCUGGGAAACUGGGUCUAAUACCGGAUAGGACCACAUUUUGGAUGGUGUGGUGGAGAGUUUUUCGGUGUGGGAUGAGCUCGCGGCCUAUCAGCUUGUUGGUGGGGUAAUGGCCUACCAAGGCGUCGACGGGUAGCCGGCCUGAGAGGGUGUACGGCCACAUUGGGACUGAGAUACGGCCCAGACUCCUACGGGAGGCAGCAGUGGGGAAUAUUGCACAAUGGGCGCAAGCCUGAUGCAGCGACGCCGCGUGGGGGAUGACGGCCUUCGGGUUGUAAACUGCUUUCGCUAGGGACGAAGCGCGAGUGACGGUACCUGGAGAAGAAGCACCGGCUAACUACGUG
rnacentral:rRNA from 1 species